GUAGACCAAGCAGAGAGAUUUUUCCUUCCCUGCUCAGCACUUGUUAGUUUUGGUCCACCAGUACAAAACAGAUGUUGAAAGCUCUAUAUGAGGCCAGCUACCAAGAUGGAGUAGACUAGGAGAGCUGGACUACUUCGUCCUAGAAAAGAUACGGAUGGCAGGAGACCUGCUACCAGCUCCCAGAACCUACACUGAGCUGACAAAGGAGGCUCCUGUGUAGAACCUGACAACCCACGACUGUCACGGUAGAGAAGUAUGCUUGGAAGUGUGCCUAUAGAUGAACUGAUUCAAUUGCAAAUACUUAGUACUAAGUACUGUUAAACGUGCUGAUUGCAAGUGCCAGCUAGCCCUUUUACCACCCCUGCCUUCUCGACCAUGCUCCACAAAUUGUUUACCCUAAUGUUGGGACAACCUGGAAAUGUUUCUUACAGGUAGAUGCCCAGAAGAGUCAUCAUUUCUUCCUUGUGACUGAUUGCUGUGCCUGGGAAAAUGAACUGCAGUGUCAAUAGGUCUCUUAGUGCACAAAAUCUACAGCCUUGGAUGUUACUCAACUAAAUUAAGCUUCCACCUGCCCAGUC